GGUACAGUGGCUAAGAGCAUGGAUUCCACAUCCAGACUGUCUGGGUUCGAAUCCCAGCUCUGCCA
rnacentral:tRNA from 1 species